UGUAAAAUGGCAAAAAUGAUAGUCUGAGAUUAAAUUUAGAAUUGCCACCAAAGAUAAGGGACCUCCGGUGGAAUUAUCUCUUUUUUUUAUUCUACUUUU